rnacentral:rRNA from 1 species
CGGACUGCAGGCUGCAACCCGCCUGCACGAAGUUGGAAUUGCUAGUAAUCGCGGAUCAGCAUGCCGCGGUGAAUACGUUCCCGGGCUUUGUACACACCGCCCGUCAAACCAUGAAAGUUGGGAACACCCGAAGCCGGUGAGCUAACCGCAAGGAGGCAGCCGUCGAAGGUGGGUUCAAUGAUUGGGGUUAAGUCGUAACAAGGUAAC